UUCUUUCGAGCAUGCGGUCCCAACCCCUGUGACAUACCUAUACGUUGCCUCGGCGGAUCAGCCCGCGCCCCGUAAAACGGGACGGCCCGCCCGAGGACCCCUAAACUCUGUUUUUAGUGGAACUUCUGAGUAAAACAAACAAAUAAAUCAAAACUUUCAACAACGGAUCUCUUGGUUCUGGCAUCGAUGAAGAACGCAGCAAAAUGCGAUAAGUAAUGUGAAUUGCAGAAUUCAGUGAAUCAUCGAAUCUUUGAACGCACAUUGCGCCCGCCAGUAUUCUGGCGGGCAUGCCUGUUCGAGCGUCAUUUCAACCCUCAAGCUCAGCUUGGUGUUGGGACUCGCGGUAACCCGCGUUCCCCAAAUCGAUUGGCGGUCACGUCGAGCUUCCAUAGCGUAGUAAUCAUACACCUCGUUACUGGUAAUCGUCGCGGCCACGCCGUUAAACCCCAACUUCUGAAUGUUGACCUCGGAUCAGGUAGGAAUACCCGCUGAACUUAAGCAUAUCAAAG
rnacentral:rRNA from 1 species